AAUGAACGUUGGCGGCAUGGAUUAGGCAUGCAAGUCGAGCGAGAAGUGUAGCAAUACACGGAAAGCGGCGGAGGGGAGAGUAAUACGUGGGAAUCUGCCCUUAGACCUGGGAUAGCAGCGGGAAACUGCUGGUAAUACCAGAUAAUGUCUAUGGACCAAAGGUGUGAUUCCGUCUAGGGAUGAGCCCACGUCCUAUUAGCUAGUUGGUAGGGUAAUGGCCUACCAAGGCGAUGAUGGGUAGCGGGUGUGAGAGCAUGACCCGCCUCACUGGGACUGGGACACUACCCAGACAACUACGGGUGGCUGCAGGCGAGAAUCUUCGGCAAUGGGCGCAAGCCUGACCGAGCGAUGCUGCGUGCGGGAUGAAGGCCUUCGGGUUGUAAACCGCUGUCGAGGGGGAGCAACUUCCAUAGAGUUAUCUUUAUGGAUUGAGUGAUCCCUGGAGGAAGGACGGGCUAAGUUCGUGCCAGCCGCCGCGGUAACAC
rnacentral:rRNA from 1 species